rnacentral:rRNA from 1 species
CACGUAGGCGGCCUGGUAAGUCAGAUGUGAAAGCCCGGGGCUUAACCCCGGAAGUGCAUUUGAUACUGUCAGGCUUGAGUAUGGGAGAGGGAAGUGGAAUUCCUGGUGUAGAGGUGAAAUUCGUAGAUAUCAGGAGGAACACCGGUGGCGAAGGCGACUUCCUGGACCGAUACUGACGCUGAGGUGCGAAGGCGUGGGUAGCAAACAGGAUUAGAUACCCUGGUAGUCC